AACACUGUUAACCUGCGGUACCUGCGGAAGGAUCAUUAAAGAUUGACCGAAAGGUCUUAUCUCUAUAUCCCUCACCUCUGUGAACUGUGGACCUCCGGGUCUAUUUAACAAACAUCAGUGUAAUGAACGUAUAUAUCAUUAAACAAAACAAAACUUUUAACAAUGGAUCU
rnacentral:misc_RNA from 1 species